rnacentral:rRNA from 1 species
GACGAACCGAGCGAACGUUGUUCGGAAUCACUGGGCUUAAAGGGCGCGUAGGCGGGUGCUCAAGUCCGGGGUGAAAUCCCACAGCUCAACUGUGGAACUGCCUCGGAUACUGGGUGCCUCGAGGGUGGUAGGGGUAUGCGGAACUAUCGGUGGAGCGGUGAAAUGCGUUGAUAUCGAUAGGAACUCCGGUGGCGAAGGCGGCAUACUGGACCACAUCUGACGCUGAGGCGCGAAAGCCAGGGGAG